UACAGAGGUCUCAAGCGUUGUUCGGAUUCAUUGGGCGUAAAGGGUGCGUAGGUGGCGCUGUAAGUCGGGUGUGAAAUUUCGGAGCUUAACUCCGAAACUGCAUUCGAUACUGCCGUGCUUGAGGACUGGAGAGGAGACUGGAAUUCCUGGUGAGCGGUGAAAUGCGCAGAUAUCAGGAGGAACACCGGUGGCGAAGGCAGCUCGCUGGGACGUUACUGACGCUGAGACGCGAAAGCGUGGGGAGCAAACAGG
rnacentral:rRNA from 1 species